rnacentral:rRNA from 1 species
GACGAACGCUGGCGGCGUGCUUAACACAUGCAAGUCGAACGCUGAAGCUCAGCUUUUGUUGGGUGGAUGAGUGGCGAACGGGUGAGUAACACGUGAGUAACCUGCCUCCUUCUUUGGGAUAACGCCCGGAAACGGGUGCUAAUACUGGAUAUUCACUGGUCUUCGCAUGGGGGUUGGUGGAAAGGGUUUUUCUGGUGGGGGAUGGGCUCGCGGCCUAUCAGCUUGUUGGUGGGGUGAUGGCCUACCAAGGCUUUGACGGGUAGCCGGCCUGAGAGGGUGACCGGUCACAUUGGGACUGAGAUACGGCCCAGACUCCUACGGGAGGCAGCAGUGGGGAAUAUUGCACAAUGGGCGCAAGCCUGAUGCAGCGACGCCGCGUGAGGGAUGGAGGCCUUCGGGUUGUGAACCUCUUUCGCUCAUGGUCAAGCCGCAACAAUGGUUGUGGUGAGGGUAGUGGGUAAAGAAGCGCCGGCUGACUACGUG